rnacentral:piRNA from 1 species
UCUAUGGUCCUGGCUCUGCCCUCAAAGG